GCAUCUGUAGCUUAGUUGGAUAGAGCAAUUGACUACGAAUCAAUAGGUCGGGCGUUCGAAUCGCUCCAGGUGCA
rnacentral:tRNA from 1 species